rnacentral:rRNA from 1 species
GACGAACGCUGGCGGCGUGCUUAACACAUGCAAGUCGAACGCUGAAGCUCAGCUUUUGUUGGGUGGAUGAGUGGCGAACGGGUGAGUAACACGUGAGUAACCUGCCUCCUUCUUUGGGAUAACGCCCGGAAACGGGUGCUAAUACUGGAUAUUCACUGGUCUUCGCAUGGGGGUUGGUGGAAAGGGCUUUUCUGGUGGGGGAUGGGCUCGCGGCCUAUCAGCUUGUUGGUGGGGUGAUGGCCUACCAAGGCUUUGACGGGUAGCCGGCCCGAGAGGGUGACCGGUCACAUUGGGACUGAGAUACGGCCCAGACUCCUACGGGAGGCAGCAGUGGGGAAUAUUGCACAAUGGGCGCAAGCCUGAUGCAGCGACGCCGCGUGAGGGAUGGAGGCCGUCGGGUUGUGAACCUCUUUCGCUCAUGGUCAAGCCGCAACAAUGGUUGUGGUGAGGGUAGUGGGUAAAGAAGCGCCGGCUAACUACGUG